rnacentral:lncRNA from 1 species
GAUGAUCAAAGAAUCUUUGACUUAAUAUCUUGUGAUUAUAACUUGAAUUUGUCAAAGGACAUGAAUUUAUAAUUUUUUAUCCUGCCAAAGAAAAGGAAUUUAUAAUUAAGCACAUAUUUUUCUAAAGCUACACAUCAAAACUAUUUUCGCCCUACUUUCCGAAAUGCAAAAAGAAGGAAAAUAAAAGAAAAAUAUAAAAAAAGAAUGUAUCAAGUAGGUUGCUUCAAACACCAGGAGUAGAAGACGUGUAUUUAAGAUGAACAAAGAAUCUUUGACUUAAUAUCUUGUGAUUAUAACCUAGCUUAAGGGAAUGUUUUGAGGUAUUUAUGUUCAUGUCUUUUAUUGUUCUAUUAGAAAACAUAUUAUUGCUUUACACUGAAACUGAUCGAUUUUCGUUUUGUCACUGUAAAUGUGUCUCAUCUUUUCUUCUUUUUCUUCUUCUUGUUGUUGUAGUAACUCUGUAGUGUAAUGUAAUAUGAUGCUUCGGUCUUUUGCUUAUUAUGGUUAUUUUCUUGUAACUUGUAAUAUGUUUUUAACAUUGGGCUAUAUUUCACUUUCGAACAUUGGGCUAUAUAUCACUUUCGGCCUUUGAAUUUGAAACUCAUGCAUAUGCGCAUUGUUUUGUUAAUAUAAUUUUGUUUUUUUGUUUUUAUACCCUUUUUGCAAUUGGUAGUUUCUCUUGGAAGUAAGUUUUUCUUGAUUGACUUGGAAGUAAGAGAGUCAUUUUUUGUAGGUGGCAGAACAUGAAAUCCAGCACCUCAGAGAAAGCAACCUUGAGCUUGAAAAGGAGCUGAAGGAUCUCAAGUCACUGAUUGAGGUACAUAGGUUGGAUGAUGAUCAGGUUUGUGAUAAAUUACAGAAUUUUCAAUAGUUUCUAGUUGAAUUUGGAUAUUGGGUGUGCGUUUAUGUUGCUUUGGUCCUUUGGUUAUUCUCUUGUAAAUUGUAAUCUGUAUUUAACAUUGGGCUAUAUAUAGCUUUCGGUCCUUGAAUUUGAAACGGAUGCAUAUGCGCAUUGCUUUGUUAAUAUCAUUUUGUUUUUUGUUUUUUAUACCCUGCAGUUUGUCGUUUCUCUUGGAAGUAAGAGGUUUUUUUUUGUUGGGUCAACGUGGAAUUAAGAGUUGGUCAUUUCUUGUAGGUGGCACAAGAAAUCCAGCGCCUCAGAGAAAGCAACCUUGAGCUUGAAAAGGAGCUGAAGUAUCUCAAGUCACUGAUUGAGGUACAGAGGUUGGCAGAUGACCAGGUUUGUGAUAAAUUACAGAAUUUGCAAUAGUUUCUGUUUUAAUUUGGAUAUUGGGUGUGCGUUAAUGUCUUGUGAUUAUAACCUAGCUUAAGUGAAUGUUUUGUGGUAUUUAUGUUCAUGUCUUUUGUUGUUCUAUUAGAAAAUAUAUUAUUGCUUUUCAUUGAAACGGAUCAAUUUUAGUUUUGUCAAUGUAAAUGUGUUUUGUCUUUUUUCUUCUUCUUUUGUUGUUGUUGUUGUAACUCUGUAGUGUAAUGUAAUAUGAUGCUUCGGCCCUUUGGUUAUUUUGAUUAUUCUCUUGUAACUUGUAAUAUGUUUUCUACAUUGGACCCGGCUAUAUAUUGCUUUUGCCCUUUGAAUUUGAAACACAUGCAUACACACAUUGCUUUGGUAAUAUCAUUUUGUUUUUUGUUUUUUAUACCCAUUUUGCUUUGGAAGUAAGAGUUAAUCUUUCUUGUAGGUGGCAGAAGAAACCCAGCGCCUCAAAGAAAGCAGCCUUGAGCUUGAAAAGGAGGUGAAGGAUCUCAAGUCACUGAUUGAUGUACAGAUUUCUGGUGAUGAUCAGGUUUGUGAUAAAUUACAGAAUUUGCAAUAGUUUCUGGUUGACUUUGGAUAUCGGGUGGGCGUUUAUGUUGCUGUCAUUUAUAGUACUUAAUGAUCAUGAUCAUCAUGGUGCAUGGAGAAAUAUACUUGCUAUAACAUGUAUGCAAUGAUAAAACCACUAGCUAGGAGAUGUGUAUUUAAGAUGAUCAAAGAAUCUUUGACUUAAUAUCUUGUGAUUAUAACCUAGCUUAAGUGAAUGUUUUGAGGCAUUUAUGUUCAUGUCUUUUAUUGUUCUAUUAUGAUUGCCUAAAUUUUGUUUGUAUUUGCAGUGGGAUGACUCAGUAGUUGAAGACCUG